GAUGAACGCUGGCGGCGUGCCUAAUACAUGCAAGUCGAGCGAACGGACGAGAAGCUUGCUUCUCUGAUGUUAGCGGCGGACGGGUGAGUAACACGUGGAUAACCUACCUAUAAGACUGGGAUAACUUCGGGAAACCGUAGCUAAUACCGGAUAAUAUUUUGAACCGCAUGGUUCAAAAGUGAAAGACGGUCUUGCUGUCACUUAUAGAUGGAUCCGCGCUGCAUUAGCUAGUUGGUAAGGUAACGGCUUACCAAGGCAACGAUGCAUAGCCGGCCUGAGAGGGUGAUCGGCCACACUGGAACUGAGCCACGGUCCAGACUCCUACGGGAGGCAGCAGUAGGGAAUCUUCCGCAAUGAGCGAGAGCCUGACGGAGCAACGCCGCGUGAGUGAUGAAGGUCUUCGGAUCGUAAAACUCUGUUAUUAGGGAAGAACAUAUGUGUAAGUAACUGUGCACAUCUUGACGGUACCUAAUCAGAAAGCCACGGCUAACUACGUG
rnacentral:rRNA from 1 species